rnacentral:rRNA from 1 species
CCUACGGGUGGCAGCAGUAGGGAAUUUUCGGCAAUGGUGGGAACACUGACCGAGCAACGCCGCGUGAACGAAGAAGUUAUUCGUAAUGUAAAGUUCCUUUAACAGGGAAGAAAGAGAAAUUUGAUGGUACCUGAAGAAUAUGCUCCGGCUAACUACGUGCCAGCAGCCGCGGUAAUACGUAGGGAGCGAGCGUUAUCCGGAAUUAUUGGGCGAAAAGGGUGCGUAGAUGGCAUAGUAAGUCUUUGGUAAAAAUGCUGGGCUCAACCCAGUAGGGCAAAAGAUACUGGAAGGCUAGAGUAUGACAGAGGCAAGUGGAACGACAGGUGUAGCGGUAAAAUGCAUAAAUAUAUGUAAGAACACCAGUGGCGAAGGCGGCUUGCUGGGUCGAUACUGACAUUGAGGCACGAAAGCGUGGGGAGCGAACAGGAUUAGAUACCCCUGUAGUC